UACAGAGGGUGCAAACGUUGCUCGGAAUUAUUGGGCGUAAAGCGCAUGUAGGCGGCAUAGUAAGUUCACUGUGAAAGCCCUUGGCUCAACCAAGGAAGUGCAGUGAAAACUGCUAAGCUCGAGUUCUGAAGAGGGUCGCGGAAUGGCCAGUGUAGAGGUGAAAUUCGUAGAUAUUGGCUAGAACACCAGUGGCGAAGGCGGCGACCUGGGAAGAUACUGACGCUGAGGCGCGAAAGCGUGGGGAGCAAACAGG
rnacentral:rRNA from 1 species